rnacentral:rRNA from 1 species
AUGAACGCUGGCGGCGUGCCUCAUCCCUGCAAGUCGCGCGAACAGACGAGGAGCUUGCUCCUCUGACGUUAGCGGCGGACGGGUGAGUAACACGUGGAUAACCUACCUAUAAGACUGGGAUAACUUCGGGAAACCGGAGCUAAUACCGGAUAAUAUAUUGAACCGCAUGGUUCAAUAGUGAAAGACGGUUUUGCUGUCACUUAUAGAUGGAUCCGCGCCGCAUUAGCUAGUUGGUAAGGUAACGGCUUACCAAGGCAACGAUGCGUAGCCGACCUGAGAGGGUGAUCGGCCACACUGGAACUGAGACACGGUCCAGACUCCUACGGGAGGCAGCAGUAGGGAAUCUUCCGCAAUGGGCGAAAGCCUGACGGAGCAACGCCGCGUGAGUGAUGAAGGUCUUCGGAUCGUAAAGCUCUGUUAUUAGGGAAGAAAAAAUGUGUAAGUAACUAUGCACGUCUUGACGGUACCUAAUCAGAAAGCCACGGCUAACUACGUG